UGAGGAAUAUUGGUCAAUGGGUGCAAGCCUGAACCAGCCAUCCCGCGUGAAGGACGACUGCCCUAUGGGUUGUAAACUUCUUUUGUAUAGGGAUAAACCUACUCUCGUGAGGGUAGCUGAAGGUACUAUACGACUAAGCACCGGCUAACUCCGUGCCAGCAGCCGCGGUAAUACGGAGGGUGCAAGCGUUAUCCGGAUUUAUUGGGUUUAAAGGGUCCGUAGGCGGACUUAAAAGUCAGUGGUGAAAGCCGGUCGCUUAACGAUAGAACUGCCAUUGAUACUGUGAGGCUUGAGUAUAUUUGAGGUAGCUGGAAUAAGUAGUGUAGCGGUGAAAUGCAUAGAUAUUACGUAGAACACCAAUUGCGAAGGCGGGUUACCAGGAUAUAACUGACGCUGAGGGACGAAAGCGUGGGGAGCGAACA
rnacentral:rRNA from 1 species